UACGUAGGGUGCAAGCGUUGUCCGGAAUUAUUGGGCGUAAAGAGCUCGUAGGCGGCCUGUCGCGUCGGCUGUGAAAACUCGGGGCUCAACUCCGAGCUUGCAGUCGAUACGGGCAGGCUAGAGUUCGGCAGGGGAGACUGGAAUUCCUGGUGUAGCGGUGAAAUGCGCAGAUAUCAGGAGGAACACCGGUGGCGAAGGCGGGUCUCUGGGCCGAUACUGACACUGAGAAGCGAAAGCGUGGGGAGCGAACAGG
rnacentral:rRNA from 1 species